UUGACAUUUUGGUUUUUGAAAGUUUGUAUUAUUUUUUUUGGCAAUUAUCGCAAUGAACUAUGGAAAGCGGCAGUGAUAGUGACUUUGAAAGUAUGCCUUGUGAAAUUGGCCAUGCAGCAGCUGCUGCUCCAAUUAUUGCCUGAAAAGUCCAUAGGAUAUAAUUUUGACGCAAAUAAAUGAAACCGCCAAAUCCUCUACUUUGUGAAGCAUGUAGUCUAUGUUGAAAAAUACCAAUUUAGUGAAGAAAAAUGUGAACAUAGCCACUUUUCCAAAGGUUAUCGCAUUUCUUGAAAGGAAGAAUGUUGGUUAUAGAGUAAAGGAUUCAGAAGUCUUCAACAGCGAGCAAAUAAUGGAACAUAUCUUAUGCUAAAGAUAGUUUUAACAAAAUACUACGAUUGUAGGGUAUAAAAGUGUCAACUUGAUUUGCUUUAUUUUUAGGUAGAAACAUUUAUUGGAUUAUACGGUGCGUGUAGACGGGAAAAACUAACAAAAAUGUCAAUUGAUCUAAUAAACAACAAGGAAUAAAUGAUGCUUGUUAAAAUA